rnacentral:rRNA from 1 species
UAUUGGGCGUAAAGCGAGCGCAGCCGGUUUAAUAAGUCUUAAGUUAAAGGCAGCGGCGUAACCACCGUUCGCUGUGGAAACUGUUAAACUUGAGUGCAGAAGGGGAGAAUGGAAUUCCAUCGUGUAGCGGUGAAAUGCGUAGAUAUAUGGAGGAACACCGGUGGCGAAAGCGGCUCUCUGGUCUGUAACUGACGCUGAGGCUCGAAAGCGUGGGGAGCACACACAAAAAGAUACCCUCUUAGUCCCCUCCGUAAACGAAGAGUGCUGGGUGUUAGCCCCUUUCCGGGGCUUAGUGCCGCAGCUAACGCAUAAAGCACUCCGCUUGGGGAGUACGCCCGCAAGGUUGAAACUCAAAGAAAUUGACGGGGGCCCGCACAAGCGGGGGAGCAUGUGGUUUAAUUCGAAGCAACGCGAAGACCCUUACCAGGUCUUGACAUCCCGAUGCUAUUUCUAGAGAUAGAAAGUUUUUUCGGAACAUCGGUGACAGGUGGUGCAUGGUUGUCGUCAGCUCGUGUCGUGAGAUGUUGGGUUAAGUCCCGCAACGAGCGCAACCCCUAUUGUUAGUUGCCAUCAUUUAGUUGGGCACUCUAGCGAGACUGCCGGUAAUAAACCGGAGGAAGGUGGGGAUGACGUCAAAUCAUCAUGCCCCUUAUGACCUGGGCUACACACGUGCUACAAUGGUUGGUACAACGAGUCGCAAGUCGGUGACGGCAAGCAAAUCUCUUAAAGCCAAUCUCAGUUCGGAUUGUAGGCUGCAACUCGCCUACAUGAAGUCGGAAUCGCUAGUAAUCGCGGAUCAGCACGCCGCGGUGAAUACGUUGCCGGGCCUUGCACACACCGCCCGUCAA